rnacentral:rRNA from 1 species
UACGUAGGGGGCAAGCGUUGUCCGGAUUUAUUGGGCGUAAAGAGCGUGUAGGCGGCCAUACAGGUCCGUUGUGAAAACUCGAGGCUUAACCUCGAGACGUCGAUGGAAACCGUAUGGCUAGAGUCCGGAAGAGGAGAGUGGAAUUCCGGGUGGAGUGGUGAAAUGCGUAGAUAUCCGGAGGAACACCAAAGGCGAAGGCAGCAUCCUGGGAAGUCUCUGACGCUCAGGGACGAAAGCUAGGGGAGCGAACGGG